GUGGGGAAUAUUGGACAAUGGGGGGAACCCUGAUCCAGCCAUGCCGCGUGUGUGAAGAAGGCCUUUUGGUUGUAAAGCACUUUAAGUGGGGAGGAGGCUUACCUAGUUAAUACCUGGGCUAAGUGGACGUUACCCACAGAAUAAGCACCGGCUAACUCUGUGCCAGCAGCCGCGGUAAUACAGAGGGUGCGAGCGUUAAUCGGAUUUACUGGGCGUAAAGCGCGCGUAGGUGGUUAAUUAAGUCAAAUGUGAAAUCCCCGAGCUUAACUUGGGAAUUGCAUUCGAUACUGGUUGGCUAGAGUAUGGGAGAGGAUGGUAGAAUUCCAGGUGUAGCGGUGAAAUGCGUAGAGAUCUGGAGGAAUACCGAUGGCGAAGGCAGCCAUCUGGCCUAAUACUGACACUGAGGUGCGAAAGCGUGGGGAGCAAACAGGAUUAGAUACCCUAGUAGUCC
rnacentral:rRNA from 1 species